rnacentral:rRNA from 1 species
UACGUAGGGUCCGAGCGUUGUCCGGAAUUAUUGGGCGUAAAGGGCUCGUAGGCGGUCUGUUGCGUCGGGAGUGAAAACUUACAGCUUAACUGUGAGCGUGCUUUCGAUACGGGCAGACUUGAGGCAUUCAGGGGAGAACGGAAUUCCUGGUGUAGCGGUGAAAUGCGCAGAUAUCAGGAGGAAUACCGAUGGCGAAGGCAGGUCUCUGGGCUGACACUGACGCUCAUGCACGAAAGCGUGGGGAGCAAACAGG